AGCGAACAGGAUUAGGAGCUUGCUCUUUUGACGUUAGCGGCGGACGGGUGAGUAACACGUGGGCAACCUACCCUAUAGAUUGGGAUAACUCCGGGAAACCGGGGCUAAUACCGAAUAAUCUAUGUCACCUCAUGGUGAGAUAUUGAAAGACGGCUUCGGCUGUCACUAAAGGAUGGACCCGCGUCGCAUUAGCUAGUUGGUGAGGUAAUGGCUCACCAAGGCGACGAUGCGUAGCCGACCUGAGAGGGUGAUCGGCCACACUGGGACUGAGACACGGCCCAGACUCCUACGGGAGGCAGCAGUAGGGAAUCUUCCACAAUGGGCGAAAGCCUGACGGAGCAACGCCGCGUGAGUGAAGAAGGCUUUCGGAUCGUAAAACUCUGUUGUUAGGGAAGAACAAGUGCUGUAGUAACUGGCUGUACCCUUACCGGACCUUAAUCGAAAACCAAGGGUAAAUAAGUGGCAGCAACCCCGGGUAUACGUUAGUUGCAUUGUUUACCGGAAAUUAUGGGCCUAAAACGUGGGGAGGGUGGCCUUUUAUUCUUAUGAGUAACCCCAUGCGCCAGCUGUGCAGGAUGUUGGUGCCUGGUGGAAUUGCUUCCGAGAAGGGGAUGGAAUUCCAA
rnacentral:rRNA from 1 species